AUUGAACGCUGGCGGCAGGCCUAACACAUGCAAGUCGAGCGGAUGAAGGGAGCUUGCUCCUGGAUUCAGCGGCGGACGGGUGAGUAAUGCCUAGGAAUCUGCCUGGUAGUGGGGGAUAACGUCCGGAAACGGGCGCUAAUACCGCAUACGUCCUGCGGGAGCAAGUGGGGGAUCUUCGGACCUCACGCUAUCAGAUGAGCCUAGGUCGGAGUAGCUAGUUGGUGGGGUAAAGGCCUACCAAGGCGACGAUCCGUAACUGGUCUGAUAGGAUGAUCAGUCACACUGGAACUGAGACACGGUCCAGACUCCUACGGGAGGCAGCAGUGGGGAAUAUUGGACAAUGGGCGAAAGCCUGAUCCAGCCAUGCCGCGUGUGUGAAGAAGGUCUUCGGAUUGUAAAGCACUUUAAGUUGGGAGGAAGGGCAGUAAGUUAAUACCUUGCUGUUUUGACGUUACCAACAGAAUAAGCACCGGCUAACUUCGUG
rnacentral:rRNA from 1 species